GACGAACCGUGCGAACGUUGUUCGGAAUCACUGGGCUUAAAGGGCGCGUAGGCGGUUUGCCAAGUCAGGGGUGAAAUCCUGCAGCUCAACUGUAGAAGUGCCUUUGAUACUGGCGAACUCGAGGGAGGUAGGGGUGCGUGGAACUUCUGGUGGAGCGGUGAAAUGCGUUGAUAUCAGAAGGAACGCCGGUGGCGAAAGCGACGCACUGGACCUUUUCUAACGCUGAGGCGCGAAAAGCUAGGGGAGCAAACAGG
rnacentral:rRNA from 1 species